AAAUGAGACUUCCAAAGGGAUCGCAUUGAUCCCAAGUCUAUAUUCAAAACUGAGUUUUGAAUGAAUGAAUCUGGAUCAUGCUAUCCCUUUGGAUGCCUCCUU
rnacentral:pre_miRNA from 1 species